rnacentral:rRNA from 1 species
CCUUGUGAUCUACCCAUGGGCAGGUUGAAGCUUUGGUAACACAAAGUGGAGGACCGAACCGGUUGACGUUGAAAAGUCUUCGGAUGACCUGUGGGUAGGGGUGAAAGGCCAAUCAAACUGGGAGAUAGCUCGUACUCUCCGAAAUGCAUUUAGGUGCAGCGUCGAUUUAUAGUUUAUUAGAGGUAGAGCUACUGAUUGGAUGCGGGGGUUUCAUCGCCUACCAAUUCCUGACAAACUCCGAAUGCUAAUAAAUGAUGGUCGGCAGUGAGGGCAUGGGUGCUAAGGUCCAUGUCCGAGAGGGAAAGAACCCAGACCAACAGCUAAGGUCCCCAAAUUUCUGUUAAGUUGAAGCAACGCGGUUGGACUGCAUUGACAGCUAGGAUGUUGGCUUGGAAGCAGCCAUUCAUUUAAAGAGUGCGUAACAGCUCACUAGUCGAGCGGUCCGGCAUGGAUAAUAAUCGGGCAUAAACAGAAUACCGAAGCUAUGGAUUUAUAAUUAAUUAUAUCUGGUAGGAGAGCAUUCUAUAGGCACAGAAGCUGAGUCGUGAGGCUUGGUGGAGCGUAUAGAAAAGAAAAUGUAGGCAUAAGUAACGAUAAAGGGGGCGAGAAACCCCCUCACCGAAAGACUAAGGUUUCCUCAGCCAUGCUAAUCAGCUGAGGGUUAGUCGGGACCUAACGCGAACCCGAAAGGGGUAGUGGAUGGACAAUGGGUUAAUAUUCCCAUACUUGCUCACACUAAAAAGGGGACGGUUCGACGUAGCUAUUGAAGACGGACGGAAGUGUCAAGGCCUAGCCUUCGGGCGAAGCUGUUAUAGUGAAAUCGGAUCCAAGAAAAGCCGAAGUGAAGCAACCCGUACCAAAACCGACACAGGUGGUCGAGGAGAGAAUCCUAAGGUGCUCGAGUGAGUCGUGGCUAAGGAACUAGGCAAAAUAGUCUCGUAACUUCGGAAGAAGAGACGCCAGCAGCAAUGUUGGCCGCAGUGAAGAGGCCCAGGCGACUGUUUAUCAAAAACACAGGACUCUGCUAAAUCGAAAGAUGCUGUAUAGGGUCUGACACCUGCCCGGUGCUGGAAGGUUAAGGAAGGGCGUUAGCGUAAGCGAAGCGUUUGACUGAAGCCCCAGUAAACGGCGGCCGUAACUAUAACGGUCCUAAGGUAGCGAAAUUCCUUGUCGGGUAAGUUCCGACCUGCACGAAUGGUGUAACGAUCUGGGCACUGUCUCA